GAGACAGCCUCUGGCCACACUGAGAGCAGAGCGGGCGGAGGCCACCCAGAAUGUGCUCCUGAUCUCAGCCGGGCAGCUGGAACAGGAGGAUGUAAGGAGCACCUGGCUGGGGCAGCCCACGAGUGGCAGCCGGUGUCGCGGGGGCGGGGGGAGCAGAGCACAUGCUUCAAGGUUUCUGGGUGGACAAGAGGCAUGGGGCUGUGGGAGCUCUGCAUGCCCUUGGGCUCUGGGAAGAGCUCAGGCCCAGGCUUCUAGGAUCCCUGCGGUUUGGGAGUCCCCAGUACUGGCCAGUUGACACCAAGACCUGGCUGGGUCACCUCAACCAGCUGGUGAGGGCCAGGCCCCACCCCUGGCAGCUUUUAUCCCAGUGGGGCUGUGCCGCACCCCCCCGGGGCCGCUCAGUCUGCGGAAAGGCACAGAGAAGCGGCACUUGGCUGGCUCAGAAGUGUCUUUAAUGACUCCAGACUGUGCCCCUCCCCAGCCCAGAUGCUAUCCUUAGCGAGCAGCCAGCAAAGGUCCCCUGCGAGUCUCAGGAGGGGUCCAGGGGCCUGGGGCCUGGAGGGACUGGGGCAUCCUCUCUGUCUGUGACCUGGGGCUGAGGGA